rnacentral:rRNA from 1 species
AUACAAUGGAGAGUUUGAUCCUGGCUCAGGAUGAACGCUAGCGGGAGGCCUAACACAUGCAAGCCGAGCGGUAGAUUACUUUCGGGUAAUUGAGAGCGGCGUACGGGUGCGGAACACGUGUGCAACCUGCCUUUAUCAGGGGGAUAGCCUUUCGAAAGGAAGAUUAAUACCCCAUAAUAUAUUAUUCGGCAUCGGGUGAUAUUGAAAACUACGGUGGAUAGAGAUGGGCACGCGCAAGAUUAGCUAGUUGGUGAGGUAACGGCUCACCAAGGCGACGAUCUUUAGGGGGCCUGAGAGGGUGAUCCCCCACACUGGUACUGAGACACGGACCAGACUCCUACGGGAGGCAGCAGUGAGGAAUAUUGGACAAUGGGUGGAAGCCUGAUCCAGCCAUCCCGCGUGCAGGAAGACGGCCCUAUGGGUUGUAAACUGCUUUUAUCUGGGGAUAAACCUACUUACGUGUAAGUAGCUGAAGGUACCAGAAGAAUAAGCACCGGCUAACUCCGUGCCAGCAGCCGCGGUAAUACGGAGGGUGCAAGCGUUAUCCGGAUUUAUUGGGUUUAAAGGGUCCGUAGGCGGACUGAUAAGUCAGUGGUGAAAUCCGACAGCUUAACUGUCGAACUGCCAUUGAUACUGUUAGUCUUGAGUAAGGUUGAAGUGGCUGGAAUAAGUAGUGUAGCGGUGAAAUGCAUAGA